UACGGAGGGGGCUAGCGUUGUUCGGAAUUACUGGGCGUAAAGCGCACGUAGGCGGCGCGAAAAGUCAGAGGUGAAAGGCCUGGGCUCAACCUGGGAACUGCCUUUGAUACUAGCGUGCUUGAGUCCGGAAGAGGGUGGCGGGAAUUCCCAGUGUAGAGGUGAAAUUCGUAGAUAUUGGGAAGAACACCGGUGGCGAAGGCGGUCACCUGGUCCGGUACUGACGCUGAGGUGCGAAAGCGUGGGGAGCA
rnacentral:rRNA from 1 species